rnacentral:rRNA from 1 species
UACAGAGGUGGCAAGCGUUGUUCGGAAUUACUGGGCGUAAAGAGCGCGCAGGCGGUCGUUCAAGUCGCGUGUGAAAGCCCCCGGCUCAACUGGGGAGGGUCACGCGAUACUGAUCGACUCGAAGGCAGGAGAGGGAAGUGGAAUUCCCGGUGUAGUGGUGAAAUGCGUAGAUAUCGGGAGGAACACCAGUGGCGAAGGCGACUUCCUGGCCUGUUCUUGACGCUGAGGCGCGAAAGCUAGGGGAGCAAACGGG